GAUGAAGAACGCAGCGAAAUGCGAUACGUAAUGUGAAUUGCAAAUUCAGUGAAUCAUCGAGUCUUUGAACGCACAUUGCGCCCCCUGGUAUUCCGGGGGGCAUGCCUGUCCGAGCGUCAUUGCUGCCCUCAAGCACGGCUUGUGUGUUGGGCCCCGUCCUCCGAUCCCGGGGGACGGGCCCGAAAGGCAGCGGCGGCACCGCGUCCGGUCCUCGAGCGUAUGGGGCUUUGUCACCCGCUCUGUAGGCCGGCCGGCGCUUGCCGAUCAACCCAAAUUUUUAUCCAGGUUGACCUCGGAUCAGGUAGGGAUACCCGCUGAACUUAAGCAUAUCAAUAAGCGGAGGA
rnacentral:misc_RNA from 1 species